rnacentral:rRNA from 1 species
AUUGUAGGCUGCAACUCGCCUACAUGAAGUCGGAGUUGCUAGUAAUCGCGGAUCAGAAUGCCGCGGUGAAUGCGUUCCCGGGUCUUGUACACACCGCCCCGUCACACCAUGGAAGUUGGGGGCGCCCGAAGUUGCCUAAGAAAUAAGGUACCUAAGGCGAAACCAAUGACUGGGGUGAAGUCGUAACAAGGUACC